GGCAAAACAACAUAUACCACUUAUUUAAUUUCACAAAAACAAAAUAGAAGUGCUAAUAAAUAAUACAUUACAAAAGCUUUCACUGUUACUCUUUACUGUUGAUGCACUGCGCUGCCAUCUUGGAUUAUGACGUUGUCGUCAAGUCGGGGUUGGUGGGGAGUUUGUCCGCCUUUCCGAGUCGUAAAAUCAGACUUCAGGGGUGUGUUCCAGAUGAAUUUCUGACUCGUGGCUCGGAAAUUCGGACUUCUGAGUACAACUGGAACGCAGCAUUAUACUGUAUUACUAAUAGUCAUCCUGUAUGUAUAAUCUCUAAUGCUAGCAAGACAAUCUUCCAGUAGCAGGGUAUCAAUGAUUUUGGACCUGUGUCUUUGUGUGUGUGUGUGUGUGUGUGUGUGUGUGUGUGUGUGUGUGUGUGUGUGUGUGUGUGUGUGUGUGUGUGUGUGAGAGAGAGAGAGAAAGUGUGUGUGUGUGUGUGUGUGUGUGUGGCUUCCUGUUAAAACAUCAAACACUUUGCAUAUUCCCCCGAAUAAUGUUUCUUCAAAAGCAGCAUAACAGCCUGGAGAUCUGUUAAGUUGUAAACCCAAAAAAUGCAGAGACAGACUAACAAAUGUGCGCACAAAAAACUCAGUGACUACUCUCUCUCUCUCACACACACACACACACACACACCUUAAAAGUUUUGUAAUCUCUACAUAUGGAGCUUUGUCUUUUUCACCGUGAGGUUUGUGGCGAUGACGAAUUCCUCCCAAACUUUCCUCAGUGUCUCGAUGUUGAAUCAAGCGUAUUGAUACUCUGAUAUUACCCACCAAUCAUCAUCUAAAAAUAUCAUCCCCAUAGUAGCCUGGUAAUAUAUGGUGAUUAUGAUCAACUGCGCACACAGUGACGUAGUAAGAUGACAAGUAAGGGUGCUCAGACCACAGUGUAGCUGAUUCCCAUCUAGAAUUCCACUUAGAAAAUGUUUCUUUGGGGUUUUCUGUCAGUGUUUUAGUCACAGUAUGUAGUUUGAAGACCUGCUGCACAAAAUCCAGGGUUUGUUACUUGUAGUACUCUGUAAAAAAAAAAAACAAGACUAACAAGGGGAAAGACAUCCUGCCCUUCGUCUUUACAUCAACAUCAUAGCUCUGUACAAUCCCCUGUGCAGUUUUUAUCACCUACUCUGAUACCCUGUCUCUGUCAGUGUGAUCAUUCUGCAAACCUCUCUCCUUGUUGUCCCUGCUAGUCUAUCCCUCCAUCAUCUGAAAGCUCUUCAUUCUAACUUUAUCUUUUAUGAUUUCAUAUUGAUGGCUCACCGUUAUUCUCAGCGUGAUCACCUCCUCAGCCCUGUCUCUCUGCUUUAUUCCCUCUGCUAUCUCUGUCCUCCCCUGUUAGAUUUCCACUUUAUCUCCUGUCCAAUUUGAACCCACUUGGCAGCCAAAUUUGGUUUUGUUUUUUUAUUGGCCUGGAUCUAUUGUCCUGUUACCUGCAGCAACAGGCCUGCGUUUACAGUGCUGAGCACAAAGGUGUAGGCUGGACAUUGAUUGUUUUGGUGGCCAGUGCAAAGCAUUAUGGAUUUUCACUUGUAUUCAUAGAUGUGAUUACAGCAGUGUGUUCAUGUUUUUCAUUAGGAGAGGACAGUAGGUCAUCCAUCACAGAACAGCCUGGGAAUAUGAAUGAUUAGCUACAGACACCCUUUAUUGUAAAGUUGCAUUGCACCACACUGGAGCCAGCUUCGUUCAUCAUACUGUCAGGUUUGCAACUUGUGUGUGUGCAUUGCAAACCAACCUGUUACAGUGGUUAUCCUUGGGACUGCUGAUGUGUUGUUUGCAAACCACUUGGCUUCAAGAGCCAACUUUAGUACAUAAAUAAUACAAAGCAGCUCUCCUUUAGAAGAGCUGGUUUCCCAUUUCCCCUUGAUUCUGUUGUUUUGUAAUAAACAGAAUCAAAUUAACCUUAAAGGGAUACUCUUGCAUAACAUUAAUUUAGGGUCAAACACACUGUAACACCUAGUUCGACACCCCGUCGAGAGAUGAAUGUUGUCGACCACUAUCUUCUCUAGUUACACCAACUUCAGUAACGUCCGCACGAUAGCAAUACACAGCGGUCUGAGAAGCCAUAAAAAAACUCAACUAAAAAGCCACUCUAUAGCCACAAAUAAUGCUCAGAACAGCACCUAUCUUCAUCAACAGUACAUAUAGGGUCCUAGCUACAGCACUAGCCACCAAACAUCUUUUUAAUUUUGCCUAAUUUCACUAGCAAAGAGACUAAACACAACUCACCUACUCUCUUCCAGCAGCCGCUUGAUUGUAGCGAGACCUCAGGCGGGUCCAUUACAGACUACAGCAGGAUGAAGCAGCUCAAGGAAGAACAUUUAUGAUCAUUUCUUUAUCAUUUCCUUGAAGUAAUAAUCACCACAUUGAUCAUUUUGCACUGCAGACACGGGAGUUCUUCUGCCUCAGCGACUCGGUCUGAUUGCAUUUCCAUGAGGAAAAGAUUAUAGAGAUGAUCUAAAUUAAUGUUACGCCGGAAUAUCUCUUUAACAUCCAUUUGUUUGUUUGCAAUGACUUCUUGUCAAAUUUAGCAUCCAUAAUGAAGUAAAGGCAAUGGUGAAAGCUUUAAAGUGGGUGGUAGAUGGGGAAAGAUGGUGGGGGUAGAUGGCAAGUCCAAACAGACCCUUCUCAUUCUGAUUCUGCCACCCAUAUGCUCUUCCUAUUAUCACUCAACAUCCUCCUCUCUUUCUCUCUUUAUGUUGGUGUGUGGAGGUGAGAGCUAGCAUGGAGGAGGGUGGUUUUGGGACACUGGAGCUAACAUAACACCACUGAAGAGAGGAGCCCACUUGAUGACUUUUGGUCCUGCCAAUUUAUUCCCAUCUGUCUUCAAGCUUUCAGGUUGGGGACCAUAGAGGUGAUGAUUUUUCUUCUUAUCGGGAUGAGGGUGUAGUGAGAUGAUUUCUUCCUUUAAGCAGUUAACCUUUCAGUGGACCACAAUGACCUUAUGUUUAUUUGAAAUGUUUAGAGGAACAACUGCAGUCAGAAUUUAAUCAUUUUGUCAGUGAACUCACAGAAGAUUUAGGUCACUGAGGCCAAAAGGUGGGUGGCACGGGCGUAGUUGAAAUCAUCAGGCAACUAAUUUUUUAUUCAGUUUCUCCUCGAGCAAGAUGGACUUAAAAUUUUCCACUAAGCAGUUUAGGCUCAUUGAAAGCAACAGCUUAAUAACUUUCUGAGCAGGAUAAUAAGGUUCAUAUCAGGUGAAGGAUGUCGGAUUUUCACUGAAUGUUUCAAUUUUAUUUUGCACUGACGGGACAGAGAGGUACACAGACAUUCAGGAGGAAAAGAGGAGGAUGAAUUAAAAGGGGGAGGACUUGGCAAAAGGUGGUGUGUGGUAUGAUCAUAUUUUGGUUGACAUAGUCAUUAAUGUACGGAUAUGCAGAAAAUAUCGUUAUCUUUUAGAGAUAAAGGCUGGAGGCUCCUGAGAGAUUGUACUAUUUAUGCACCUGCUUCUUCUUUAAAGAGCGCUGAGGCAACUUCUUGCCUGCUGUUGAUCCUCAUAACAAGCAUUAGAAAGCAUUACUAACAGGUGUCACUUAAUGACAUCUCUGAGUCCAGCCAUAACACCUCGAGUACUUUUUGCACACAUCUCUCCAAAUGAGAAGGAGGAACAUAAUCCCUCAAUCCCUUUAUACCAACCAGCUGCUUCCUAGCACACAGUGUAUACUGUGACCUAGAUAACCUCAAGGCUAAUAAAUAGGCUGUGGAUGGAUUUAAGAUGCAAGAAUAUGCUAAUGAAAACAAUGGUAAAUUAGUCUUGAAGCUGUGUGGGCCAAACUACAGGGUGAUAAAGCACUCAGGGGGACCAAAGCAAAUCAUUAUUUCAUCUGUCAGCUAUUUAUAGAGAAGCUUUAUGCAAUAUAUGGUUGAGUCCCACAACUCCAUGAGGGAGACGGACAUGAACCAAAGUAAUAAUGUUUUUUUGCACUGGCUGCAAGAUUAAAAAGGUACGAGCGUGAUCGUACCUACUGAUGAUGUGUAAACAUGUAUGUUGCAUGAUGAACUGUUGACUCGCACUUGAACUCAGACUUGAGCACUAAGUGCACUUGGAGGCACAACAUGGAGAGAAGGGAAUAAGACUCAAUUAUAAAUAUAGACGAUGCCCAACAAUUUAUUCAUUUUCAAGUCUACUACUUCUACUCGGGUCUUACAUUACAGAACUGAAAGAAAAAAGAUGAAUGAAUGGGUCAGGAAGUACAAAUGUUUAAUUGAUUAGCAACCCAAAGAGGGAACAGCUUUAACGUUGCUUUUGGAUUCACAAUAAAUCUAGUGAAUCAUCUCUCAAUGUGCAAAUACAGGUGGCUUGCUUCUACCAUCCUUAAUUUGAAAGAUAAUGGAGGAUGGAUGGGAUGCUUACGUUUGCCAGUGAGAUGCUAGAACAGUUGAAAAAGUAAUUCUCAGCAACCUGUUAGCCAACAAGAGCUGUCUAAGCUGUUUGUUAUGUUAAAUUUCUGAUCUAAAGUUGGGUUGGUUACAGGAAAUUGAGAUUCUUUGACAUAUGCAUUGAAGCAGCUCCAGAUGUAAAAAUGAGAGUAUCUCCCUCUGAAGAAAGGAAUACUCAAAUACAGCACUGUAUCUUCACUGAUGAAUUAAUCUCCAGAAACUCCAAUUCUAAUCAAAGAAGUUUAUUUUUUUACACCCAAAAAGUCACACAGCUUCAGCUGGAGUUUAUACAUAAGAUGGUUUGGACUGAAAGUUGACGCUGUGUACUCAGACCCAAGGUUUGGUAACUCUACAAAAACACUCAGUUAAUGAUGUUUUUUUAAGGAAUUCAUUUGGCCAAUGGUGGCCAGAUAAGAAGCAGGUGAAAAGGAAAGUAAGGAUAAUUUAAUUAAACGAAGCCAAAGGAAGUGUUGCCAUAAAAUCUUCAUAAUUGAAUUCAAAGUUGGCUGAGAUUCCCACAAGUUUUCACUCUAUUUAAUUGUCCAACUCGAAAAAGUAUCACAAAUUGAAAAUCUACAACAUUAUGAGCUGUUUGUAGAAACUUCUCCAGCCAAAAUCCUUUUUACAAAAAACAAUCAUAGCAUAAUCAAAGAAAAGGGAAAGCAUCUCUGCUCUCAAAUACCAGAAAUUGUGAAGUCCCAAACGUGUUAACUAACAGAAAGCCAGCGCUUCUCGCAUCCGUGUUUUAGUAUGAAUCACUCUGGGAAUGUGUGUGUAUAUGGGUGUUUGCACGCUUUUGUGUGCAAGAUUAACAACAGCAUUGUGAUAAACAUCUUAAUCCCUUAUAAUUACACUGGAUCACACACUCAAAAGCACACACACACACACACACACACACAUGCACCGAGCCUCUCAGGUGGGGAUCCUUCUACACUCUCUGGUAAUUACCUCGUCUAUCAAAUGAACAAACUCGCAGGGAGAAAACAAGGCAAAAAUGAGGGAGAAGGGGAGGCUUAAGGGGGGAGGUUGAGUGGUGGGUAUCAGGCUCAGAGUAAGUAGCAUUAGGGAGGAGGACACAUAAAAAAAAGCACGUUCUCUAUCAAUGCAAACUGAUACUUCCCCCUCUCCUCUUUUACUCGCUCUCAGUUUGAUUCUAUCUCUUCUGUCUCCUCUCCUCCCCGUUUUACUCUUCUAUCCUGCUGGCGCUGUUACUCUGGCUUACUGUGUACCUGUGGUUGUCAAACCUAAUUCUAAACCUCGCCUCUCUCUCAGCCCUGCAUCAUCUGAAUAGCUGUCAUUACUACAAACAACACUACCACACUGCUCUCCUGCAGAAUUGCUGCCUCUCAAAUAACCUCCUUGCCACCCAUCCUUAAGUCUACCUUCGAUCUCGACACUAUUGUUUAUCCCAUCCUCAUUUCAUCAAAACUAUCUCACACAUGCCAUUACUUUUUUCUACACAUUUUGAAAACCCUUCUUUAAACCCGUCUUUGAAUUAAUCAGAGAACUUCAUCUGCACAAGGACUGAAUAAACUUUACAGUACAUUCUUAUCCCCAACUCAUCAAACACAUAAACACAAUCUGGCUGUCUCCACACACCAAGCAUGAGUAAAAUCAUUUGCACAAAUGAAUUACAUGUUAAUUUAAUGCAAAGACACGGUUAGAUACUCCUACGACUCCAGUGGCGGGAAUGACACAAAUUGAGCGAAUCUCGAAUUGAGCGAAUCUCAACUCGACCGGAUAUUGGCGUCACGAUAACUAAUCUUUCAAUGAUCGAAACCGGAAUAAAAAGGAGCUCGCCUGGAGGCAAGUGAGUGAGGAGGUCGGAUUACCUGGAAAAUUGAUAAAAACCUUUGUCUAUCACUUGAUCCCGCCAGUUGAGUUGGCAGAAGUUACUGAUGAAAUUACCGUUGACCGCAAAUGAAGCAAGUAAAUACUUUUUAUUCACGUCUAGAUUUGUGCGAAUUAACCGAGUAGAUAAUUUUACUCACACUUUGGUGUGAGCGCCCCAUGAGAUCCUAAACUUUAGAUUGACUUUCUAGGCACCAAAAUAGUGUCACCUCCAACAAUGACUUUAAAGUCAAGUGAGCGUUGAUAGAAAUGUAAGGUCUGGUUGGACUUUUAACAUAAAGACAUCAAAUAGACAACAUCAGGUUAGAGAGGUGUCCCUUUAGUGUUAAGUUUUUACCGAUCUUAACCUAUUUCAAACCAAGCCACUGCACUAAAAAACUUUGGGAUGACCACUGGUUUCAACUUUGAUUUUUUUUUUUUUUAUAUAAAGUAUAUGCAUAUUAAAGAUGCUGAGUUUCUUUUGUGUAUGUGCUUUUAAAAACAACCUGCAUUAUAAACGCAAAAGUCUUUUUUCUGUGACAACUCUCAAAGGCUCGAGAUUUUCUAGCGCAUAAUCUUAGCCUUUGUACUCUUUGAUGUAUCCAUUCAAUUGACAAGGGGCUCUUUCUUCCGUGUUUGCCAUUGUUGCUGUUAAAAGCUGCUUUUAUUGAUUGUUUUUUUUGUUUUUUGUUUUUUGUUUUUUUACCAUUCAGAGGCCACAGUAGGUCCACAAAUCUGGCACAUUUCAAAUCAAGGCAGCAUUUUUCUAAAGUUUUCAUCCAAAGCUUUAUACGAUUUCUGGCUUUUAUUCAGCCGAUCUCUAACACAAUGACUGGCUGUGAAUCUCCAUACAAGAUGAUCGUAGAACAAUCAGGAGUGAACAAACCUUUAAUAGGCCCCAGCUGCCCCUCAUUUAACUGUUAGAGGUGUAUCCAUGGAACAUAUUUACUAACUUAUUCAGCAGAAAAAUAAUCAUAUUAAACAUACAUUUGAAAUUAUUAGAAGAUCUUUUCCGCCAAACUGGAAAAUCUAGUUGUUGUUAUUCAAGUUAUAUGAAAACCUUACUGUAAAAACAGACCAUUCCCGAAGACCAUGAGUGACUGCACCAAACUUUAUGGCAAUACAUGCAACAGUCAACCCCAAUUUCCACUGCAUCUAGAACGGCUGCAAAAAGGCUGUAUCUGCCAAUCAUAGCUAAUCGUUUCCGUUCAAGUUAAUGUGUCAAUUUGCACCAGCUUCUUUCCAUUCCACUGUUGAUCAGCGGGGUCCAGCCUUUUUUUCUUUUCUAAAUAAAACACUAUGUGUUUAAGGCAGAUCAUAUUUCACACCAUGCAAAUGGGCAGGGACAAGUUAAAGGUUUUCAGACAGCAUCUCACCACGUUGACACCAUGGAUGAGGAGAUCCUGAUUCUAGAGGUCUAGAAAUGGAUUUCCUCCUCUGUAAGGACACAAUCUGCUGCUUAUAUGGUUAUGUGACUGUCUUUGUAGAGACAACUCAUUAUCGUGUGAUUGCAUGUGAAUUUGCGAGUUCUUGCGAUUCCCACUGUCCGUAAUCUGCCAUGAAAUUCCCCUCACAAACAGAUCAGGUGGGAAUUGGCGGACGGCAAAAAUCACUGUAGUGGAGCCGUUCUGGAUACAGUGGAAAUUAGGGGUAAGAGACAUAUUUCAUACCAAAAAAAGAGGAAACCAUUAAGCUGACAUCCCCGUAUGCAAACUGCAAGCAUGGCUAAAACAGGAAUCAGGUGACAAGUCUGCAGUCUGAUUGACUCCUUACUUUUACUCUUAAUGGAACCAAAGUCGUUUAACUCACCCCUUGAUAAUACAACAUCUCAGACCUAAAUUGUCUUCGUAAAAUGAGAAGCAGACCUGAGACAUCAGCGUUCUAGUAGCUGACGCAGCACCUGUCAUCAAGAUAAGAGGGAGUGUUACCCAGGGUAUUAUUGGACAGAUGUGGUGGUCCAAGCCAGCUUUGGACUCCUGCCCAGUGAUUUAAGCCCUAUCCAUGUCAACACAACCAGGCUGCAGUGAGGAAGUCAGCACAUUUGCAUCAUUUGUUGGCGCUCCACUUAUAGGUUGGCAUUUUUCCCUUCCCUAGAAGCUUAAGCCCAUACUGUACACGGCGUGAGUCAUCUUUAGCCAAAUACUUUGCACGUCUUUGACCCAGGUGCUCUUUCUCUUAUUUGAUCUGCAAAAGCAUUGGAUGAAUCCACGUCAAGGUCAGUUUAAAGCAACUGCAUCUUCAUUGUUGGGUUUCCCACACUUCUGUGUAAUGUUGCAUGUGUCUGUCGGAGUGAUGGUUUGCAUGUGAUGAAAUUCCAGUGUCUCUUUGCAGUGUGCAUUUCUUCAUGCAUGUGCCUGAUUUGACAAGAGGAACCCAUUACAGAGAUCCUGACAGCAAAGCAGUAUCCUGUCAGCGAGGGUAGGGAUGGAGACAGUAUUGAGACCUCAAUUACAGCUAACAAAGGACAAACAUCAGCUCACUGACUCAAUUGCUCUUGAUUAUAGGUCUCAGUUUGCCUUAAAGCAAAAUCAUGUUAAGACCAUGACAGCAGCAGCAAGACGAGGAACAACACAAAAAAAAGACACAGCUGAGCUCAUGCAGCAUGUCUUCAUUACUCUGUUCCAUUUCUUUGGGCGCCUAUGAGAGAGAUUUGUUUGUGUAAAGAGUAGACGAGAAAACAUGUCACUCCUUUCUGCUCCCUUAACAGCAAUCUUUGAAAGAAACAAAAUAUGCAAAAAUGCACCCCUGACUCAAUACUCCUUUCAGAAUCAGUGAUAAUAAAAUACCUCUCUUUUCUAUGUAUGUGUCACAUUCUCUGCCGGAGACACUUUGAAAUGCCAGUUAGCUGACUUAAAAUGUCAUCAAUUCUGUCUGAAAAUUAUCAAACACAUUAGGAUUUUGAUAUGAAGGAUGUAGCUUUUACAUCUUUUUUAUUAUUUUAUUUUUUGUCUGUGAAUUUCUGUCGGCAUUCUUACUGUCACUUCACUUUGUGAACAGUGGGAGGUUUUUUUUUUUUGGCCUCGUUGCUUUUCUAUCAUUUCAUUAAAAUACAAAAAUGAUAGAAAGUAAUACUCGCAGUAACUGUGAAACAUUUCCUCUGAUAUGAAACAAAGUGAUAUUGUGAAUAAGAGCGUUUGUUCUGCUCAGUCCUGAUAUUAAAAUUGUCUCCUUGGGCAGAGAAUAUGUGAGCAAAAGGAGGAACAAGCAAGUGGGCUGUGAGUGCUCUGAAGCCUUGCAGUCAGUCGUGCUCAGUUUUCAAUAUCAUUCUCUUUAAUAGCUCUGUGAUCUCUCUUCAGCAGCCUGUCAAUCUUUUCCUUUCUUAUGGAUCUUCUCAUAUUCCUCCCACUAUUGUUACUCUAACUUUGCUUAUACUACAGAUUUCCUGUAGCAUUGACUGUUGGUCCCACUGUAAAUGUGUUCAGACUGUAGUUAGCAUUGUGGGAAAGGCGAAACACCUUCCUCUGUGUUGCCGCUUCACACACUGAGGUUACCAAGGAAAUACAGGAAAAAAAAUUGAUGUCAAUCAAUUAAUCACGCAGUCUUUGUAGA